UACGAAGGAUUCGAGCGUUAUCCGGAUUUAUUGGGUUUAAAGGGUGCGUAGGUGGAUUAAUAAGUCAGUGGUGAAAGCCCGCAGCUUAACUGCGGAACUGCCAUUGAUACUGUUAAUCUUGAGUACAGUUGAGGUGGGCGGAAUGUGUCAUGUAGCGGUGAAAUGCUUAGAUAUGACACAGAACACCGAUUGCGAAGGCAGCUCACUAAGCUGUAACUGACACUGAUGCACGAAAGCGUGGGGAGCAAACAGG
rnacentral:rRNA from 1 species